UGAGACUGUAGCUGCCUCGUCAUCCCUGCCUGUUCCUCAGAAGCAGUCAGGAAGCAAGGAGACAGGAGCCUUCCCUGUGGAUAUGGAGAGGAGAGCGCCACUUCCUCCAGAGAGGAGAAGGAUGCCAGGGAGAAAUGAACGAGGACUUUGCAUGAGAUGCUGCCUGGAAAUAUUAGCUCGAUAAGUGAAUAAUUAAAGACACCAGACAGAUGGAGGACAUGGUGGAGAAGAAUCAGAAGAUGACAGAGGGCUGGAGGGAUAAAGGAGCUGGAGAAUUAACAUCUGGCCUCUUGG
rnacentral:lncRNA from 1 species